rnacentral:rRNA from 1 species
AGAGUUUGAUCAUGGCUCAGAUUGAACGCUGGCGGCAUGCUUUACACAUGCAAGUCGAACGGCAGCACGGGGGCAACCCUGGUGGCGAGUGGCGAACGGGUGAGGAAUGCACCGGAACGUAUCUUCAAGUGGGGGAUAACGCAUCGAAAGGUGUGCUAAUACCGCAUAAUCUCUGAGGAGAAAAGCAGGGGAUCGCAAGACCUUGCGCUUUUGGAGCGGCCGAUGCCUGAUUAGCUUGUUGGUGAGGUAAAAGCUCACCAAGGCUCCGAUCAGUAGCUGGUCUGAGAGGACGACCAGCCACACUGGGACUGAGACACGGCCAGACUCCUACGGGAGGCAGCAUUGGGGAAUUUUGGACAAUGGGGGCAACCCUGAUCCAGCCAUGCCGCGUGAGUGAAGAAGGCCUUCGGGUUGUAAAGCUCUUUCAGCCGGAACGAAACGGUCACGGUUAAUACCCGUGACUACUGACGGUACCGGAAGAAGAAGCACCGGCUAACUACGUGCCAGCAGCCGCGGUAAUACGUAGGGUGCGAGCGUUAAUCGGAAUUACUGGGCGUAAAGCGUGCGCAGGUGGUUUUGUAAGUCAGAUGUGAAAUCCCCGGGCUUAACCUGGGAACUGCGUUUGAAACUGCAAGGCUAGAGUGUGGCAGAGGGGGGUGGAAUUCCGCGUGUAGCAGUGAAAUGCGUAGAUAUGUGGAGGAACACCGAUGGCGAAGGCAGCCCCCUGGGUCAACACUGACGCUCAGGCACGAAAGCAUGGGGAGCAAACAGGAUUAGAUACCCUGGUAGUCCAUGCCCUAAACGAUGUCAACUAGUUGUCGGGUCUUAACGGGCUUGGUAACGUAGCUAACGCGUGAAGUUGACCGCCUGGGGAGUACGAUCGCAAGAUUAAAACUCAAAGGAA